rnacentral:snRNA from 1 species
AUUUUUGGAGAGGAAAAGGUAGGGCUAUAGGGGAGGUAGGAGGGAAAAAAGUGUACUAUCUGUUCUUAUCAGCUUAAUAUCUGAUACGUCCUGCAUUGCACGACCAGAAUAUUAAACUCAUUUUUGGCUUAUGACGGAGUGCUAGGGGCUUGCUCCACCUCUGUCGCUGCAUUGCAGUACCGUCGGGAUCGGCCCACCUAAU